UUCCGAAAAAUUGUGGUGUUGAUAAGCAACCGAAUCAAUGCUCUGGGUGGAAAAGACAAGGUUUCUGCACUAAUAGCCGUUACAUGAACUACAUGAAGCAAAACUGUCAAAAGACCUGCACCCCAGGGUGUAUUUAAUCGGUAUGGGUAGAACUGAAUCUUUGAAUUUAGUAAAGUAUGCUUUUCCAAAAUACAGAAACCUUAUUCUGCAAAUUCUUACUUAAAUUUGACAUAGCGAAACUAUAAGAGUAAGUUCUUUUUCUGAUUUUUCCAAAUUAAGGUGGCUCAGACUGCUCUGUAUAUUAAUCAGUCAUCACAAAAUUUCUUAUACAAGAAUCGUAAAACCAAACUCCAUG